GACGAACGCUGGCGGCGUGCCUAAUACAUGCAAGUUGAGCGCUGAAGCUUUGUACUUGUGCCAACUGGAUGAGCAGCUAACGGGUGAGUAACGCGUGGGGCGUCUGCUUUUGAUCGGUGGACAACAAUUGAAAACGAAUUCUAAUACCACAUAAAAACUUUAAACAGAGUUUUAAGGUUUUAAUUUGACAUUUGCAGCAUGCAAAGACGAUCACGAGUUUUAUUAGUUAGUGGGUGAGGUAAAGGCUCAACAAGGCGGUGAUACAUAGCCGACCUGAGAGGGUGGUCGGCCAAAUUGGGAAUGAGACAAGGCCCAAACCGCUAAGGGAGGGAGCAGUAGGGAAACUUUGGCCAUGGGCGGAAGUCUGACCGAGCAACGACGCGGGAGUGGAGAAGGUUUUCGGAUCGUAAAAGUCUGUUGGUAGAGAAGAAAGUUGGUGAGAGUGGAAAGCUGAUCAAGUGACGGUAACUACCCAGAAAGGACCGGCUAACUACGUG
rnacentral:rRNA from 1 species